rnacentral:tRNA from 1 species
GGUGGCUCAAUGAUAGAGCACUUGCCUUGCAUGCAUGAUGCCCUGAGUUCGAUUCUUCAGCACCA